ACCCUUCGCCUGCUUAUGAUCCCGUGAUAAUGACAUGAAAAACAGGAAGCGUCCGGGCGCCAGCAGCAGAGCGUGAGGUCAGGGGCAGUUUCAGAGGGUAAAAGCUCCAACCUGCUCUAGACCUGAGAGGAUCUGCCCUGGGGGGGAGUGAUUCUACUGAUCGACUGUCUUUUUAUGUCUAUCACCCACACCUGCAUUUACAAAGUUGUCUCACGUGGAAACGUUUGAUCCUCAAUUCUUAAUCCGGAGACAACUUAGAGGUAACAGCUUAUAUCCAAUGAUGGACCACCUUCCUCAUCCCUUAAAUCUCUAACAACAACCAGAAGUUACUUCCUGUAUCUUGAGCUACACGUCUGUGACUCUAUUUUUUCCUGCUACUGUUGAGAACAGCAGGUGCAUUGGAUUGCUGAGUUCAUCACUUAAUGAGAGCUGUCUGGGACUAAGUACGUAGAAUAUUAAACCCUGAUGCUGCAUUCACACUGAAUGUAAUUUGCGCGUAAAAUUCACUUCUCGACACUCGCUUCUGACGCGUGUGGGAGGAGCUAUCCAAUUAAGUUUGUGGCCCCAUCACUACAACGACUGUAUAUCUCAUUUAUGGUCAAUCCAUAAAAGAUAUGAAUGAAAUUGAGGGACGAAGUUGAUUUAUGUUGAAGAGCUCUACAAAAGCAUCAGUAAUCACAUCUCCAUGUCUGGGUUUAUGAGAUCAUUCAGACUUUCCCAGUAUGGUGAGCUUCACCAUCUACUGCAGGAGCUGAGUCUGAAUGACUCUUUCA